UUUUGAUGGAUAUGGGUAUCAUGGGACAUCGUUUGAGCAGACAUACCGAUGUUUCCCCGCAUCCUUUAUUGAGAAGCCGCAAAUCGAAAGCGGUGAUAAAAUUAUAAUGCCCCCUUCAGCUCUGGACCGCCUAGCAUCUUUACAUAUUGAUUAUCCAAUGUUGUUUGAACUUCGGAAUGAUGUUGCUGAGCGGAUUUCUCAUUGUGGGGUUCUUGAGUUCAUUGCAGAAGAAGGCAUGAUCUAUAUGCCUU